rnacentral:tRNA from 1 species
GUCUUUUUAGUACAAUGAGUAUAAAUGACUUCCAAUCAUUUGAUCUUAGUAAAGCCUUGAGAAAAGACA